GACGAACGCUGGCGGCGUGCUUAACACAUGCAAGUCGAACGGAAAGGCCCUGCUUUCACGGUACUCGAGUGGCGAACGGGUGAGUAACACGUGGGUGAUCUGCCGUGCACUUCUGGAUAAGCCUGGGGAACUGGGUCUAAUACCCGAGAGGAGCCAUGUUGAGUGUGGUGGUUGGAAAGUUUUUUCGGUGUAGGAUGAGCUGGCGGCCUAUUAGCUUGUUGGUGGGGUAAUGGCCUACCAAGGCGGCGACGGGUAGCCGGCCUGAGAGGGUGGACGGCCACAUUGAGACUGAGAGGAGGCCCAGACUCCUAAGGGAGGCAGAAGUGGGGAAGACUGAACAAUGGGCGCAAGGCUCAUGCAGAGAGGCUGCGUGGGGGAUGACGGCCUUCGGGUUGUAAAAUCCUUUCGCGAGGGACGAAGCUUUUUGUGACGGUACCUAGAGAAGAAGCACCGGCUAACUACGUG
rnacentral:rRNA from 1 species